GGGGGACCCUGACGCAGCACGCCGCGUGCAGAAGAAGGCCUUCGGGUUGUAAACUGUGUCGCAAGGGAAGAAGACAGUGACGGUACCUUGUGAGAAAGUCACGGCUAACUACGUGCCAGCAGCCGCGGUAAUACGUAGGUGACAAGCGCUGUCCGGAUUUACUGGGUGUAAAGGGCGCGUAGGCGGGAUAGCAAGUCAGUCGUGAAAUGCCGGAGCUUAACUCCGGAGCUGCGAUUGAAACUGCCAUUCUUGAGUAUCGGAGAGGAAAGCGGAAUUCCCAGUGUAGCGGUGAAAUGCGUAGAUAUUGGGAGGAACACCAGUGGCGAAGGCGGCUUUCUGGACGACAACUGACGCUGAGGCGCGAAAGUGUGGGGAGCAAACAGGAUUAGAUACCCUGGUAGUCCACACCGUAAACGAUGGAUACUAGGUGUAGGAGGUAUCGACCCCUUCUGUGCCGCAGUUAACACAAUAAGUAUCCCACCUGGGGAGUACGACCGCAAGGUUGAAACUCAAAGGAAUUGACGGGGGCCCGCACAAGCAGUGGAGUAUGUGGUUUAAUUCGAAGCAACGCGAAGAACCUUACCUGGACUUGACAUCCCGCUGACCGUCUUAGAGGUAAGAUUUUCCUUCGGGACAGCGGUGACAGGUGGUGCAUGGUUGUCGUCAGCUCGUGUCGUGAGAUGUUGGGUUAAGUCCCGCAACGAGCGCAACCCCUAUUGUCAGUUGCCAUCAUUAAGUUGGGCACUCUGGCGAGACUGCCGGUGACAAAUCGGAGGAAGGUGGGGACGACGUCAAAUCAUCAUGCCCCUUAUGUCCAGGGCUACACACGUACUACAAUGGCCGAUAACAAAGUGCAGCGAUACCGUGAGGUGGAGCGAAUCACAAAACUCGGUCUCAGUUCAGAUUGCAGGCUGCAACUCGCCUGCAUGAAGUUGGAAUUGCUAGUAAUCGCGAAUCAGAAUGUCGCGGUGAAUACGUUCCCGGGCCUUGUACACACCGCCCGUCGCACCAUGAGAGUCGAUAACACCCGAAGCCUGUGAGCUAACCGUAAGGAGGCAGCAGUCGAA
rnacentral:rRNA from 1 species